GUGAGAUUAGAGAUCGAGGGAGGAUCCGACCAUCCAAAUCGGCGGACCUCCGGACAACCUUCAAGUUCGGCACGAUGGCGAUGCAUGUCCGCCCAACCUUCAAAUCGGCAGACAACGACGCAAGGCCGACCAACCUUUAAGUCCGGCACGACGGAGACGCACGGCGGACCGUCCAUAACUUGCAAAUCCUUGUUCGGUAACCAUUAAUACCAAACCUACCCGCAAUCUGGUUGCCGGAGGAUCACGGUACUCUCCAUUGGUUCCGUUCCGUAGCGCCACCCGUUCAGAUCCACCAUUUACGUCGAAGAUACCACAUGUUUAUGCUUUUAUUGAAAGAUUUUGAAAUGGGUUCUAUUUUUCUUUGUUUAUUUAAUAAUUGAUAGGGCUUUUUUUCAAAUCAUAUAUUUUGCUAAUCAAAUAAAUAAUCAUCAGGUUGCAUUUUUAGUUUGUUGAAAAAAUUGUAUUAAUGGUGAGUUUGAUCUCCUGUACAAUGUUUUGAUAAAUUCAUGGUGAAAAUGUCAAGAUUUUGAAUUGUUUACUGGUUGUUUUGGACAUAAGGGAGAAAAAGCUUCAUCUUUCUUUGUUGAUGAUGUUUGCGGUUGGAAAAGGAAACAAUAUGAUCUUGAACGGAUCUGAUUAA
rnacentral:lncRNA from 1 species